rnacentral:tRNA from 1 species
GGGCCUAUAGCUCAACUGGUUAGAGCAUCGAGCUUAUACCUCGGAGGUUCCUGGUUCGAGUCCAGGUGGGCCCA